GUCGAUGAUGGCUCCUCUGUCGU
rnacentral:siRNA from 1 species